rnacentral:rRNA from 1 species
GGAGUCUGGGCCGUGUCUCAGUCCCAAUGUGGCCGUUCAUCCUCUCAGACCGGCUACUGAUCGUCGCUUUGGUGGGCCGUUACCCCGCCAACUGGCUAAUCAGACGCAGGCCCAUCUUUCUGCGAUAGCUUACAAGUAGAGGCCAUCUUUGGUAUCUUUCCCAUGCGGGAAACAUACGUCAUUCGGUAUUAGCACCCCUUUCGGGAUGUUGUCCCCAUCAGAAAGGCAGGUUGCCUACGCGUUACUCACCCGUUUGCCACUAGGUCCUCUCAUUCAGCAAGCUGAUCAAAAGAACCCCGUCCGACUUGCAUGUGUUAAGCACGCCGCCAGCGUCGUCCUCGAGCCACUGAUCAAACUACU